GCCAGAGCUGAAUUGAAAGCCUGGAUAACCUUGCGGACAAUGUCAAUAGAUAUGUUGGCCUGGCCCAAUUGCUGUUCCCACUGAUGCAACAGGUUGAGGGUGAUCUUUUGGAUACCUCCAGCUGCCGCAUCGUCCUCUUCGUCGACCUCAAAGUCACUCUCAUCGCUAGCCACCUCCAAAUCCUUGCUGGGUUUGUGGUACUUCUCUUCGUCAUCCUCGUCAUCCUUACUUUCCUUAGUUACCGUAUCUUCCUUGUCUUCCUCAUCCCCCUCUUCAUCAUCAUCAUCAUCUGUGUCCAGUAAAUUAAAGUCCAGUAGCUUCUUAUCAUUAUUUUUUAAGAAAUCAUAAAAUUCUGGGUCUAUAUCUUUAAGCCCUUCAAGCUCCUCUUUGUGGGAUUUCUU
ensembl:ncRNA asRNA:CR44910 antisense RNA:CR44910